UCUUAUGACCUCACUAUGUGUAGAAUGUUAGCUUGGUCCUAUUUUCUCUUAACUGCCAACCGAGAAAUGUCAUCUGUUAUGUGUGUUUUGAUAUGCUUCCAGGAGACAGAGCUAUAGAGUCCCAGAUAUAAACAGCUGAUGACUACUGGAACAAGAAUGGGAGAGGGAAGACUGGAAACUGAUACUCUGAAAGUCAGUGCCAUCUCUCAAAGGCAUACUCACAUGUGUGAGAAGAGACAGCGCAAGGAAGAGAUCAACUACAUAUUCAUAAGAAUGAGGGGGAAAAUGGAUUCAAUCUUUCAGUUAAUUUGUCCAUUAAAAGCAAGGGUACUUCUUGCAGCAUCAGAAAAACAAAGAAAUAGAGAACACAUGUACCUAAAAUAUUAAACAAUCUUCCAAAGCAGUCAGAAUUGCUACCAAGACCCAACAUGAUCAUAAGACAAUGACAAUGUGGACUGCCUCUUUAUCUGUCUCUCCUUUAAUUCAUUCCCACACUGGAUUCUUUCACCCUUCCACUGCCCUCCCACCCACCUUACAGUCAGGUAGCCUGUACUAUUCCUUAAAAUCUACAGAGGAAGUCAUUUUCUAAACUAUUUUGUUUUUAUUACUUUACAUUUUAUCACCUCACAGCCAUCAAUUUAAGAAAAUGAUCAUGCUGUAAAGUUUUACUUCUUUGUCCAUGGAGAAACAAUUGACUUCUUCCCUUAAUUAACUGACCUCUCCUCUUAAUUAAACCACAUAAUCCCAACAGUCAAGUUAUUUGCAGCUGCCCAAAUCCUAUGACUUACUAUAAGUAAAGCCUAAAAACAUUCUUCCACAGACUGAAAGUGAUAUAGGGCUUCCUGCUUUCUUUCCUCUGCACCAUUUAAAAGUCUUUCUGACAUGUGACACCAAGAAGGAACACAAGCAAUAAAAGAAAAAGUAGGUAAA